GGUCUGAUGGUCUAGUAGUAUGAUUCCUUGUUAGGGCAAUCACGCAGUGAUUACGUAAUCGAGGAGGUCCCGGGUUCAAUUCCCGGUCAGACCC